GAUGAACGCUGGCGGCGUGCCUAAUACAUGCAAGUCGAGCGAACGGACGAGAAGCUUGCUUCUCUGAUGUUAGCGGCGGACGGGUGAGUAACACGUGGAUAACCUACCUAUAAGACUGGGAUAACUUCGGGAAACCGGAGCUAAUACCGGAUGAUAUUUUGAACCGCAUGGUUCAAAAGUGAAAGACGGUCUUGCUGUCACUUAUAGAUGGAUCCGCGCUGCAUUAGCUAGUUGGUAAGGUAACGGCUUACCAAGGCAACGAUGCAUAGCCGACCUGAGAGGGUGAUCGGCCCCACUGGAACUGAGACACGGUCCAGACUCCUACGGGAGGCAGCAGUAGGGAAUCUUCCGCAAUGGGCGAAAGCCUGACGGAGCAACGCCGCGUGAGUGAUGAAGGUCUUCGGAUCGUAAAACUCUGUUAUUAGGGAAGAACAUAUGUGUAAGUAACUGUGCACAUCUUGACGGUACCUAAUCAGAAAGCCACGGCUAACUACGUG
rnacentral:rRNA from 1 species